AUUUCACCGUUGAGUCGGCUAAUCACAAUUGUCCAUGGUUUGCAUUGGAUCAGAAAAACUACAGGCCACGGAGAACCUUGAAACCCAACAAACCACUUACAAGCUGUGAGGACCAACACAAAAAUGAAAUAAAUAAAACCAACAAACCACCGAUACCAAUCUCCUAUAAAAUCAAGCCCCAUACGCCAUAAGGCACUCACAUUGCCUCACCCUCCUAUAUUAUAUUAUCCCGACACUACAUCUUUCACAAACUUGCUAUUAUUUCCUCCCCAGAAAAAGAAAAAUGGCUUUCAUCAUUUCUAAAGCUCCACCACAACAAAAGCAACCAUCUUUCUCAGAAGCUGAGAAGAAAGAUGGGCAUGAAGAACUCUCAGAAGCACAGAGUUCUUCCAUCACCAGGCAUGUCUACUUGAAAUCAUCUGCUGCUGCUGCCAUGGACAGAGAUGUUGUUCUUCGACGCAUUCGUCACCACAAGAACUUGAGCAAGGUCAAAAGUGCUUUUCAAGCUCUGAUGGGCAGCUCACAGGAAGCUGCUUCUAUGGCCUCAGUGGACCAGACAUGGCUGCACCAGGAGGACAUUUUCUCUUCCCCUUAAGUCUUUAGUUUAUUGAUCUUGUAGUUUUACUUUUUAUGUAGUACAAGUAGAUGGAAAGCUAUUAUGUCUUAAGCAGGCUUUGGCCAAAGCCAUGAUUAACUGCUUGUUAAAUACCAGUACGGCUUCAACUCAUUAUGUAUCUACUUAUGCCUUCAACCCAUCUGAAGAUUAUAAGCUUUCUUGCUCAUCAAAAUUGAAACAUGUAUGUGGAUCACUGAUCAGUGAGCUGAUAUCAGUGGAAUCUGCAAGCCCCUUGAUAUGAUCUUGAGCAAGAAACAGAUCACUCACUUGAAAGGGACCUGAAGGGCAAUUUAAUUACUUUUGGUGGUCUGAAUCAGAAUGUGUAGAUAGACACUAAUUAAAGCAGCUGAGUUUUCACUUUGGAGAGGGACCUCUUCUAUAAGGACAGAGAGUGAGGAGCUUAUUUGAAAGGUUCAAUCCACCAUCUCAAAUCAUUUAAAAUAAAUGGUGCGAUUGAACCCCUUAAAUAAGCUACUCACUCUAAAUUUCUCGUUAUAGUAAAAUAAAUAGUGCGUUUGAACCUUUUAAAUAAGCUACUCACUCUAAACUCCUCGUUAUAACUAGGGGUCCACACCUGAGCUUUUUAGCCUUUUCUUUUUCUUAGUGGACGUUGAGUCAGUUUUCCUCUGGGCCCGUUGUCUACGUCGUUCUUUUCCUUCACGGCUUCAAUGUGAUCCAACUAAUUCCUCAUAUCUAUUCCAUGCUAGUAAAUGGAUUUCAAGCCUAUCGAAGUAUCAAGAAGCAUAAGAAGAAGAAAAAACAAUAGUUUGAUAUCUUAAUAGAUUAAAGGAUAUCAAAAAAUUCGAGAAAAUAAAAUAGCCCUUCCUCCUACCCCUUUUAUAUAAGUUCUGUGACUGGUGACAAACACCAGAAAGCACAACAAACAGAGUUCUUGGCUUCCUGUAAUUUGGGUUUUUUAUUUUAUUUUUAAAUUCUCUUAAAAUUGAGCAACGCAGCUCAACUUAGAAUUUGCAGAAGAACUAAGGUCAGCUCAAUUCAAUGAAUUCAAUUUCCAACAUUUUUAAAAUCUGCUCCUUGUUGCUAAAAUAUGAAAAUUAUGAGAGAAUAUUUGUUUGUGGGAAUUUUCUGUGUAUUCUUCUCCUUGUAGGAGGUCAUAUUUAUAAUACAACGAAAUCUGAAUGGGCAAGUAAAUAAUAAAUUCCUAAAUCUAUUUACAGUAGGAAAUCAGGAAUUAAAGUAAAUCAAUUACAAUUAUAAUAGGAAUUCUUGGUGUGUAAGGAAAGUAAGUCAAUAUCCACAAGUCACGCCAACACUCCCCCUCACGUUGGUGCAUAGAUGUCGACAAUGCCCAACUGAUCUAGUGAAUUGUGGAAUGCUUUACUGGAAAUCGCCUUUGUCAAAAUAUCCGCCAAUUGAUCCUCGGAUUUCACAAAAGGAAACUGAAACACUUUAGCCUCAAGCUUCUGUUUGAUGAAGUGUCGAUCCACCUCAACAUGUUUAGUACGAUCAUGCUGAACCGGAUUCUGUGCAAUGGCUAUAGCAGCCUUGUUGUCACAAAAGAGAUUCAUUGUGGACGUAGGUUUAUACCCGAGUUCAAUAAGCAACUUUCUUAACCAAAGAAGUUCACAAAUCCCUUUAGUCAUGCCUCUGAACUCGGCUUCUGCACUGGAUAAAGCUACUACAUUCUGUUUCUUGCUCCUCCAUGUCACCAAAUUACCUCUCACGAAUGUGAAGUAACCCGAUGUGGAUUUUCUAUCUGUUACAUUACCUGCCCAAUCUGCAUCUAAAUAACCAUCAAUAUUUAGAUGACCAUGCUUUGAGAACAUAAGUCCUUUUCCAGGUGCAGACUUCAAAUAUCUAAGUAUCCGAAGAACUGCAUUCAUGUGGUCUUCACUUGGAGAGUGCAUAAAUUGAUUGACAACGCUCACCGCAUAAGCAAUGUCUGGUCGAGUAUGUGACAAAUAGAUCAAUCUUCCCAUUAACCUUUGGUAUCUUUCUUUGUUAGUUGGAACUUGAUCCGGAUAUUCUCCAAGAUGAUGAUUCUGAACAAUAGGAGUGUCCGCAGGUUUACAAUCUAGCAUUCCUGUGUCUGUCAACAAGUCUAAGACAUAUUUCCUUUGAGAGAGAAAUAUGCCUUGCUGCGAUCGAGCCACCUCAAUUCCCAAGAAAUACUUGAGUCCACCUAGAUCCUUCAUCUCAAACUCCGUAGCCAGAUAGUCUUGUAGCUGUGAUAUUUCCUGUUUAUCAUUCCCAGUAAUAAUCAUAUCAUCAACAUAGAUUAUUAAUGCUGUUACCUUCCCUUUUUGAUGUUUCAAGAACAGAGUAUGAUCUGAGUUGCACUGUUUGAAACCAUUGUUCUUCAUUGCCAUGGUGAACCGUCCAAACCAUGCACGUGGUGACUGUUUCAAUCCAUACAAUGCUUUUCGUAACCUGCAAACUGUUCUAGUCUGAGUAGUAUUAUAUCCAGGAGGAAUGUCCAUGUACACCUCCUCCGUGAGUUCACCAUGUAGAAAAGCAUUUUUUACAUCAAACUGGUGUAGUGGCCAAUCCAAAUUAGCUGCAAGGGACAAUAAGACUCUGACGGUGUUUAACUUUGCAACUGGUGCAAAAGUUUCUUCAUAGUCUAUACCAUAGGUCUGUGUGUACCCUUUUGCCACAAGUCUUGCCUUGUAUCGCUCGAUAGAUCCAUCUGCAUUGUGUUUUAUAGUAAACACCCAUCUACAUCCGAUAGUCUUUUUUCCUCGUGGUAUAGUCUCCAAUGUCCAAAUCUGAUUUUUCUCAAGAGCUUUCAUCUCCUCUUUUAUAGCUUGGACCCACUUAGGAUCUUUCAAUGCUUCAGAGACCUUGGUUGGAAUAUGGAUAGCAGACAACUGAUGCACAAAAGCCUUGAGUGGUGCAGACAGCUUCUCAGUGGAUACAUGAUUUGCAAUUGGAUACUUGGAUGUCUUGCCAAUAUCCGGUGAAUAACGGUUUGGUGGCUUCCCACGAUUUUGCCUGAAAGGUAAUUGAUAUCCAAUAGUUUUAUCAUCUAAAUGCACAAGUCUAGUAGAAGUAGUUACCUCAAGGAUAUUCUCAGGAGAUUGGUCUGUUGGUACUGUUGAGUUAGAAGGGGAGUCUUCAUCUUGUUGUUCUGUAUUGUCUGUAGGUGUGGGACUCGGAUCAGAAAUAUCUUCACAUGGAUCAGGUGGGUCAGGCAAUUGAUCGCUAUGAAUGGGCGAUUGGUCACUUUUCAACAGAGAGUAAUCUCGUGCUCCAGACUCGGGAUGAUCAAUCAUUUCUGUACAUAGGAGAAUUUCUUUGUUUUCCAAGUUGCUCCAAUUCUGUUCUUCACUUCGUAUCUCCCCCUGAAGCGCAGAAUUGGAUGAUGGGUCAUGGAAGAACAGCUCAGAUUCCAGAAAAGUCACAUCCAAAGUGACAUAGGUUCGUUGGGUAGGAGGGUGAUAACAGCGGUAACCUUUCUGAUGAGUGGCAUAACCCACAAAAACACAACGAAGCGCACAGGGAUCAAGUUUGCUACGUUGAUUUUUGUGGAGAGGAACGAAAGCCACACAUUCAAAGAUUCGGGGUGUGAGUACCAAAACAGAGGGCAGAGGUCUGUGUUGCGCAAGCACCUAUAAAGGAGUUUUAAAGGUCAAUGUAACACCCCGACCCCAAAUUUCUCCAAAUUUUACCCUUAUUUAAUUAUUUAAUUAUUUAAGAGUAUUUUAGUCAUAUUUUUAACCGGGGAGAGUUUGGGACCGUGACUUAUAUUUUUGGAUAGGUCGUACUGAGACGAAUUCAUAGACACGUAGUGGGCUCGAAUCGGAGUUGUAACUAGAGAGAUAUGGUCAAAAGAAGUCCAGUGGCAUAAUCGUAAAUAUUUCAAAAUGGAAUUUUUUAUAAAAUCAGAUUUCUCUCUCUCUCUCUCUCUCUCUCUCUCUCUCUCUCUCUCUCUCUCUCUCUCUCUCUCUCUCUCUCUCUCCCGCGACUUCUCUCUCUCUCCCGUCGGCUCUCUCUCUUUCUCUCCUUGUAUCUCCGGCCACCGACCACGGCUGUGGGCGGGGCCGAUACCAAACUGACCGGGACGACGUCCCCAUCCUUCCCCGACCAUUCCCCGCCGGCGACGCGGCCGUUGCUGGCCGAAAAAUGCAGAAAACCGCCGGAAGGUCGUCGAAACUUCAACGCCGUCGAUCUCCCUCCUCCGGCCACCAUUUCCGUCGACCCAGGUAUGGAUCUUGAACCUCUCGAGCUGUUCUAGCUGCCUGUUGGUUGGGUUUUGAUCGAUUCGAUCUCUAGAUCACUCGAUUUUCGAAUUGAAAGUCGUCCGAAACUUCGGCGGCCGUGAUCGGCCAUUUUCGACCACUUUUUGGGGUAGGUCCAAGAACAAAAGUUGCUCCAAAUAGGGUGUUAUACCUAGGGUAGGAGUUUGGAGCCGAGAUGUUGAGAUUUUUCGGCGAAGCGUUAUCGCUUUGGGCACCCACGCGCUGCCGGCGCGUGCGGCGGCGCGUGGGCACUGUAGAAAAGUAGCGAUGUGUUCCGAUGAGAUCCUUAGGUUGUCACGAGUGCGUAGGAUUUUGCGGAUCUCAAUUCGGACGUCGUUUGACUAUCGAACGGAUAAUCGCAUAGUAUGCGUUAUCCGGGUUCGAUAGGUUGGGACCGUCGGAUGGUCCCAAAUUUAAUAUAUGUUAAUCUAGGUAAUUCUAGGAUCGUGUAGGAAUUCACGGAUCGUGAAUCGGAGCCCCGGAUGUUCCGAAUAAUAAUUUUAAGUUUAUAUUUUAUAUUAACCGUCGGAUCGUGCGAUCGUGAGACAUCCGACCGUCCGAUCUGAACCAAACUUGCAGGACAAGUGUCCUAUACCUGGUAGAACCCAUAGGGACUUCCGGAUCGGAAAUUGGAGGUCGUGGGUUCUGCAGGUUCGGUUGACCAGGGUUAGAAUAGUUUGACCCUUGGUUGACCGUGAAUCUUCCGGAGUAAUCCCACCUUUUUAAGGGGGGAUUAUCGGGUGCUAGACCAUUGUGGAGGAUUACACAAUAUUAGAAUUUAUUUAUAUAAUUAUAAUUAUAUAUGGUUGUACAAGGAUACAACAGAGUUUAGAAUGUCAGUUUGGAGUACUAUACGCACUACUCUAGGUACCUCCUCGGACUUUGGAUUCAUUACAAGCACCACCAAGUGAAAGCUAGGUCUCGCGUGGCGUAGGUUAUCCGGCGUUGGGACAGGCCCCAUACGUGGCGUUGGUUGUACCGGCGUAUGGGGAGCUAUUGUGAUAUUGUGUUGAGGUCGCACGUGGCGUAGGUUAUCUGGCGUGUCGACAGACCCCAUACGUGGCGUUGGUUGUACCGGCGUAUGGGGAGUUAUGUGAUAUGAUGUGCAGGUAUCACGUGGCGUAGGUUAUCCGGCGUUAAGACAGACCCCAUACGUGGCGUUGGUUGUACCGGCGUAUGGGGAGAUAUUAUGAUAGUGUGGCAUGGUCGCACGUGGCGUAGGUUAUCCGGCGUGUUGACAGGCCCCAUACGUGGCGUUGGUUGUACCGGCGUAUGGGGAGAUGUUAUGUGAAAUACAGAGAAAUGAAAUAAGGUAUCGUCCAAGUAUGGAAUUGGAUUGUAGGGAAGAACUACGUGUGGCUUGAUCCCUCAAGGAGGGUACGUAGGCAGCCUAAGGUUAUUAGGUGCAGCCGCAGACUAAAUAUUAGUCAUAUUUUGUAUUUGAAUUGUUUGGUAGUUGUUGGAGAAUUAUUGGAAGGCCAAAGGGCAUUUGUGUGGAUUGCAUGAAAUUAUAUUGUGCAUGCUGCCAGUUGUGGAUAUUAAAUGUGUUUUUAUGCAGGUUGAAAUUUUGGGAAAUGUCCAAAUUAUAGGGGAGACUCUGCCGAAAUUUCGGCAGGAAGUCUCAGUUUUUUUGUAAGUGGGCCUGACAUCGGGGUGAUGUCAGGAAUUCCAAAGGGUUCGUCUCGGAUUUUGAGAAAAUUCGGGGCGGGUCCUUUCAGUCAAUAUACCAGAAGGCAUGCAAUUGAUCAGGUGAACUGCAGUGACAAUAGCAUCAUCCCAGUGAUGGCGAGGAACAUGAGCGCCAAUCAGAAGUGCUCGGGCAGUUUCAAGAAGAUGUCGAUUCUUUCGUUCAGCAACACCAUUUUGUUGCGGUGUCUGAGGACAAGUCGUCUCAUGGAUAAUUCCAUGUUGUUGAAAGUAAGUCUGAAAGUCAUGAUUGACAAAUUCUCCACCAUUGUCUGAGCGAAGAAUCUGGAUUUGAGCAUUAAAUUGAGUUUUCAUCUGUUUGUGGAAGGACUGAAAACGGGAAAACACUUCGUUUUUAUUCUUUAGCAAAUUAAUCUAUGUCAUCCGUGUACAAUCAUCGAUGAAUGUGACAAACCAUCGAACACUAGAAGGAGCAGUGAUAGGCGAAGGUCCCCAGACAUCAGAGUGAAUUAAUGUAAAUGGAGUAGUACACUUGUUCGUGCUCAACGGGUAGGGCACACGGUGACUCUUGGCCAAAAUACAAGUAUCACAUAUGAAGUCAGAGUCUUUGAAACCUGAGAAUAAAUCUGGUAUAAGAUGCUUCAUAGAACUAAAAGACGGAUGUCACAAUCGACGAUGCCACAACCAGAUUUGCUUUUGUUUGCUAUCAAAGAGAUGUGUCACACUGUUAGCCACGCCGGGACUGAAGUCAUCGACAUAAUAUAGCCCCCAUCUCUUAGUACCACGACCAAGAAUCUCCUUAGUGUGAAUAUCCUGAAGCAAACAAAAACUCGGGUAAAUGAGUACACAACAAUUCAAUUAUUCAGUAAGCUGACUAACUGACAACAAUUUAGUGGAUAAAGAUGGAACAAGUAAAGUAUUAGACAGUGUGAGAGAGGAUGAGAGUGCAACAGUGCCAGCCCCUGUCACAGGAUAAGUAACACCAUUGGCAUUUGCAAUACAGGUUCGUCGAGGUUGUGUAGUAUUCAGAAAAUCAUCAGGAUCAAACGUCAUAUGAUCAGUUGCACCAGAAUCAAUUAUCCAGCUCUUGGAAUCAAUCUUAUCGGAAGUAUGGAAUCCAUAACCAGUACCAUUACUGGUCAUAUUGCAUUGUCCUCGAUCUGUAAGAGUAGCCCACCAAUCGGGGUAGCCAUGCGAUGUAAAACAAGUCUCACAAGUGUGUCUCGGAUCACCACAAUAUGCGCAAUUUGGUCCAUGUGUCGGGGUCGUUAGUCUAGAAGUCAUAAUCUGUGCAGCGGAAGAAGCAUAGGAUACAGGUUGAGUAGGAAUUUGGAUCGAAAUCUGAGCCUGAGUCGGGGCCGGAGUCGGAGUCGAAAUCGGGAUCGGGGUCUGAAUCAUAGACAAAUUCGAGGUUGGGGUCAUCAUCGGAAUGGGGGUCGGGGUCGUCUUCGGAGUCGGGGUCAGGGUCGUCGUCGUCAUAGUCGGGGUCGGGGUCGGGGUCGUCAAAAGAGGAUCCUGAUUCUGGAUCGGGGUCUGAAUCAUAGACAAAUUCGGGGUUGGGGUCAUCAUCGGAGUGUGGGUCGGGGUCGUCUUCGGAGUCGGGGUCGGGGUCGUCGUCGUCAUAGUCAGGGUCGGGGUCGUCAAAAGAGGAUCCUGAUUCUGGAUCGGGUUCGGGGUCAAAGUCUGCAUCUGUAGGGGCGGAGCCAUCUGGGCACUCAACUCAACGAUGAUUGGUUGAGAAUGAGAGAAGGAGUCGGUGGUGCUACCUCCAUGAGGGUUGAAAAAAUCAUCAACCCUCAUAGCGGCGGCGGGUUUUGAAACUAGAGUCAGCAAUUCCAAGAUCGCCGCUCUGAUACCAUGCUAAAAUAUGAAAAUUAUGAGAGAAUAUUUGUUUGUGGGAAUUUUCUGUGUAUUCUUCUCCUUGUAGGAGGUCAUAUUUAUAAUACAACGAAACCUGAAUGGGCAAGUAAAUAAUAAAUUCCUAAAUCUAUUUACAGUAGGAAAUCAGGAAUUAAAGUAAAUCAAUUACAAUUAUAAUAGGAAUUCUUGGUGUGUAAGGAAAGUAAGUCAAUAUCCACAAGUCACGCCAACACUUGUUACAUUCAAUGUUGUUUUCUAAAUUUCUCUUGACAUUUGACAUGUUCUUCAAGGAGGGAUGCAUUCAACCUGUUAAAUACAUGUAGAGAAGUAUUUUGUAUUUGAUAUGGCACAUAGGAUUUUAGGACAUGGCAUGUUUUUGCUUAUGCUUCACUUUUCAAACAACAUUUUACAUGAAGAAUACUACCACCUCUCUUACUACUUUACCCAUAAAUCUUUGUUUGAAAUUGUUGUUCUGGUUGGCAAAGAGAUUGCAAAAUCACCAUCUUGCAUUUUUCUUACAACAAGUAAAAAAUAAUCUUAGCCUCUCAAAUUCUUUCGCAGUUAGUAAAAUACGAAUAAAAUACGUACAUGUUUUAUUCAGUAAAAUUUUGGCAAGUUACAACUGAAAAGUUCGGCCACUAUAUAAUAAUAUAUGAAAAUUAUGUGUAUAAUACAUGAAUUUUGUGUGUAUUAUUGAAAAUUUUGUAAAAAACGCAUGUAUUAAACAUGAAAAACACGUACGUACAUGUACAAUACUUGUAUUGUAUGUUAGCUUUUAAAAAAGUGUAUUUUACCGAGUCUUUAAGACGUGUAUAGAAAACGGAAGUAUUAUCAAAAAAUACAUACGCACGUGUAUAAUAUGAGUAUUAAACAUGAAAAUGCUAAAUUUUUUAUAAGGGUAAUAACUCUGGAAAAGUUAAAAAUCAAAAAGGGAUAAUAGAGACUCAAGUAAUGCCCUAAUAGUAAUGGAUAAUGUUAUAAACUACUCUUAUUGAUAAACGAAAAUUGAGGAAAAAAUUAUUUUUAAAAAAAAAUAAAAGAGGGAUCCCACUAUAUAUUUAAAGCGUAUAGCCAGCGGCUAUACUAUUUAUUUUUUAAAAAAUUAAAAAAGGGACCCCAUAUAGCCACGCGGCUAUACUAUUAAUUUUUUUUAAACCACAGUAUAGCCAGACGGCUAUACGCUUUAAAUAUAUUAUAUUUACAAAGCAUAGCCGCACGGAUCUACUAUUUACUUUUCUUAAAAAUAGGGACCCUUUCUCUCGCCUAGGCGGCCUUUAUUUUUAUUUUUUUAUUAAUUUAUUUUAAAAACAUAGUAUAGCCGCGCGGCCAUACUAUUUAUUAUUUUUUAAAAAAAAAAAAGACCCGCCUAGCCCUAGGCGGUCUUUAUUUUUGUUUUUCUAUACUAUUAAAUUUUUAAAAAAUAUCACAGUAUAUAGCCGCCCGGCUAUACUGUUUAAAUAUAUUAUAUUUGCAAAUCACCUUUUAGUCGGCUAAUCACAAUUGUCCGCGGUUUGCAUUGGAUCAAAAAAACUACAGGCCAUGGAGAACCUUGAAACCCAACAAACCACUUACAAGCUGAGGAACAAAACAAACAUGAAAUAAAUAAAACCACCAAACCUCCGAUACCAAUCUCCUAUAAAAUCAAGCCCCAUACGCCAUAAGGCACUCACAUUGCCUCACCCUCCUAUAUUAUAUAAUCCCAACCCUACAUCUUUCACAAACUUACAAUUAUUUCCUCCCCAGAAAAAGAAAAAUGGCUUUCAUCAUUUCCAGAGCUACACCACAACAAAAGCAACCGUCUUUCUCAGAAGCUGAGAAGAAAGAUGGGCAUAAAGAACUCUCAGAAGCACAGAGUUCUUCCAUCACCAGUCAUGUCUACUUGAAAUCAUCUGCUGGUGCUCCCAUGGACAGAGAUGUUGUUCUUCGACGCAUUCGUCACCACAAGAACUUGAGCAAGGUCAAAAGUGCUUUUCAAUCUCUGAUGGGCAGCUCACAGGAAGCUGCUUCUAUGGCCUCAGUGGACCAGACAUGGCUGCACCAGGAGGACAUUUUCUCUUCCCCUUAAGUCUUUAGUUUAUUGAUCUUGUAGUUUUACUUUUUAUGUAGUACAAGUUGAUGGAAAGCUAUUAUGUCUUAAGCAGGCUUUGGCCAAAGCCAUGAUUAACUGCUUGUUAAAUACCAGUACGGCUUCAACUCAUUAUGUAUCUACUUAUGUCAUGCCUUCAAGCCAUCUGAAGAUUAUAAGCUUUCUUGCUCAUCAAAGUUGAAACGUGUAUGUUGAUCAUAAUUCAUAACAUUUUUACCUGUGAGCUGAUAUCAGUGGAAUCUGCAAUCCCCUUGCAGUGAGCAAAUGAACAAACACGAAUUUUGAUAUGAUCUUGAGCAAGAAACAGAUCGCUGAAGGGCAAUUUAAUUACUUUGUGCAUCAAUUUAGAGCAUACAACAAACUAUCUGAUGGUGGAAAAGUGGGGGAAACGAUCGAAUAGGAGAGAGAUACAUUCGUGUUGCCUUUUGGUGAUCUGAAUCAGAAUUUAUGUCGAUAGACACUAAUUAUAGUGUAAUAUAGUACAAUUCUCUUUUAUUUAUGAGCAAGUCCAUGUUUUAGCUGCCAAAAGCAGCUGAAUUUUCACUUUGGAACCACCAAUGAAAUGAAGAGUAGGUGAAAUAUAAUAAUGGCUCCAAUAGAUUUCCCAACCGUAAUCAUAGAUUGUAAAAAGAAACAUAAGGACUUAAGCAGGACCAGGGCCUAGGACUAGGAGAAGGACAAACUCUUAAAAAUAAUGCUCAUAACAUAUGUAUUGCAUGCAUCUUUCAAAUGUUUCUUUCUCAUCAUCAAGCUCUAACCAAGCUUUGCCCAGUUCUUAGCCUCCCACCCUACACAGAACUGAGCAGCAGACUAGUGCUGGCACUAAAUAUGUUUCAAAAGAUCAGGGUGGAAAAACUCUUUCUUUUAUCAAUAAAACAAAAAGGAAAGAAAAAUAAUGUCACAGAUGAUGGAGAACAAUGCGACUACAACACAAUGGCAGAUUCUAUAAAAUAAACAGUUGGGCCAUGGGGACAUGAUCCCUCUCCAUUUUGAUCAUUCAUAGGCAUGCCCUCCUAGAGGAGCCAAGUACGAUACAUAUCAGCAUAGCUCGACUAAGGGAAUACAAUAUCAUAGCACAUAUCAAGAGAAAAAAUGUAAGAAAAUGCUGGCAUUUAGCUCGUCACGUUUUUACUCAACAAGCCAGAAGAAGAGAGGAAGCGUAAGGCUUGGUUGGAGUUGUUCAACACUGCAUGUGAUCUAGACACCUGCAUUUUCCUUUUCUCCAAGAACGCCAAGGAAUUCUGUAAGCAUUUUGGAGCAGGUGUCUCCUUCAAAAUAACAGUAUCAACCCUGCAAAUCAAAAUAAAAGGAAAAAAACGAAAUUACAUAUUCAUUCAAAAUGGAGUGAGAUCAAAAGUAUUUUUCUCUGUCCUUAUAGAAGAGGUCCCUCACCCUGAGCUUUUUAGCCUUUUCUUUUUCUUAGUGGACUUUGAGUCAGUAUUCUCAUCCUCAGAGUCUGAGUGGAACACUUGUCUGCACAUUGAAUUUGGCAAUUUGGUUACAAUCUCAUAAGAACUAAAGAUCAUCAUCCAGAGAGAGAGAGAGAGAGAGAGAGAGAGAGAGUCAUACUUCUCACGAGCUGCAAGCAAUUCAACAAUGUUGCUUGGAAGCAUCCCUGCACUACCCAAAGAUUCUUGGUGUGUUUCAGUUUCAGGGGCAUCUUGAACACUUUCAACUCCAGCAGACGGCUGUGGUGUUUUCUUUGGUGUUUUCCUUUGGGCCCAUUGUCUACGACGUUCUUUUCCUUCACGAACCACCCUAUAUAGAGUAAUAUCAAUUUCCGUUAAAAUUUAUGUCUUAAGCAAAAUAAAUGCAAAAGGUGGAUACCAAAGCUACACAAACUAAUUUCAUAUUUUAUUUUUAUGUUUCACAAAUUGGUGAUUCACCCCCAAAAAUGAUAAAAGAAAGAGAAUCCACAAUCCAGUAACACUUCUUGAAUCAACUUUUUGAAGGUUUCCUAAGAGUCACCUGAUAAUGCAAAGCAUCAAACUUCUUAUAGGCACAGAAACAUACAAAACAUUGUCCAUAAAAAACUGUCGGAUAUAACUUCCAUGUGAUCCAACUAAUUCCUUAUAUCUAUUCCAUGCUGGUAAAUGGAUUUCAAGCCUAUCAAAGUAUCAAGAAGCAUAAGAAGAAGAAAAAACAAAAAUUUGAUAUCAUAAUAAAUUAAAGCACAUCGAAAAAUUGGAGAAAAUAAAAAUAGCCCUUCCUCCUACUCCUUUUGUAUAAGUUCUGUGACUGGUGAGGUGACGAACACCAUAAAGCACAACAAACAGAGUUCUUGGCUUCCUGUAAUUUGGGUUGUUUAAUUUUCUUAAAAUUGAGCAACGCAGCUCAACUUAGAAUUUGCAUAAGAACUCAGGACAGCUCAAUUCAAUGAAUUCAAUUUCCUACAAUUUUUAAAAACCAAACAAGACCUUAAUUAAAAUCAAAACAGUGUUUAGCAAAAGAGAGCAAGGUGUUAAGUGACCCACCUCGCUUUGUUCUCUUUCUGGACCUUACUUAGUUCUUCAUCUUGUUGUAUUCCCUGUAACCAUUACCAAAACAAGAACCAAGUUCUAAACUUUUGCUUUCUGAAAUAAAAAUAUAAACUUUAAAUUCUCUUCAUAGACUUAGAUUACCUGCUCGGCUGUGAGCUCCUCGGGGGCGUCCGAAUCGUAAUCUUCUCUGUCCGACAUUUUCCAACCCCCUUUUUUUCUGGUCUUGGGAGAGUUUCAGGAGCGCCUAGGGUUUAUGGUUGAAGGCUCAACCUACUCAAAGAAGACGAUGCUGAUUCUGAAAUUUUGGGUCAUGGAAGAUUUGUUGUUAGUGCUCAAAAUAAAAGCAAGGGCCCAAUUUCAAUUAAGUAUUGGGUCUUGGGCUCCUGGUCUUAUGGGCUAAAGGGUUACUCUGGCCCAUAGCUGACUUCCUCCAUCUGUUUUCUUUUUUUUUGAGAGAGACUUCAUCUAUCUAUCUUAUUCAAACAUCGGUUUAAUGGUAAUUCUCUCCAAUUUUGGAAAAGAUCUCUGACUCUAAUCUCCCGUUAACAGAUACAUAAACAUAACAUUUGUAACUAGUUAAACCUUGAUCAGUAACUUUUACCCAUAAACCCGAACAAAGUUACAUUAAGAUAAUCAACUAACUAAAAUCUCACAGUACUUCUUUUUCCAAAACUGAAAGAAAGUACAAGUUUAAUACCCUAGGCCUCUUAUCCCAUUGAUUAAAACAAAAUUACAUUAAGUUAAGGGGGAAAGAAAUAAAAGUUGCUUUUGUUUGGACUUUUUGUCCAUUUUAAAAUAACACAACAAAAAUAAAAGGCCCCAAAAUAUAGUAAUGAUGCCAUGGUUUGUAGUGCACAACACGCCAUAUGAUUAAAAUGCAAUAUGAUUAAAACUGGUAAAAUCAAAUUAGGAUCAUAUAUUGGUUGGUUUAGUAGUUGAUUGGGAUUAGAUUUUUAAAUAGUUUAAUCUUCCACUAGUGCCAUUUUCUAAAAUGUAAUCCAACAAAAUUAUGUGGUUGGGAGUGUUGGAGAAUCUUAUACCAAACCUGGUCAUGCAUAUUGCAUAAGAUAAUCCUGUCUAUUUUGCACUAUAAUAAUAUUAUAUUAGUGAAACGACUUGGUAAAUUAGCUUGUAAUUUUGAGGGAUACAGUUGUUUGGCACCGACUUCACUCCCAACGGUCAAAAGAUGCAGAUUAUCUGUCGGUUGAUGAUGCUUGAUUGAAAACAACAUCCCCCAGAGGCAAUGCUCAACUCACUUUUUUAAGCAAUAUGAGCUAAACGUUAGUGAUGAUGUGACCAAAACGAAGUAGCUAAGCUAAACAUCUUGGAGAAGUCGUUGAACCAGCUCCAACGAUCAGUUUGGGCCUCUGAUCAUCCACUUUUUUUGAGUCCAAGUUUCAUGUGAUUUACUAUUUUGCACCCAAUACCUAGAUAUCUGUCUGCUCUGUAUGUUGGAUUAGGAAGUUGGUACAUAUGAGACAUAGGUCAAGAAUCCUUUUCAUUUUUGGUCUAUGUUGGCUUCUCCAAUAUGAAAUUUUAAUCGUCUUUGGAGCAGAUAUACAACUAACACACACAAAGAGAGAAUAUAUGUUUCCAGCAAUCAUUUUUGUUAAUGUGUCUUCUUUUUCGAGUCAAGGAGAGUAUCAUCAUCGUUACGGCUGAAACGAUAAGCUUACACCACUUUUAAAUGUAUUUUUGAGAGUCUAAUUGAAGAUGCUGGUCAACCAGUUUGGCCGUAUGGAAUUGGCAUCCUCCAUGGCAAUUACUAAUGAUGCUCCAUCCACGCAUAAUAUUUGUGCCAGUCAAACCAUUUGCCGUUUGCUUGCUCGUUGUUAUUCGAGAAACAGCUUCCUCCUAAUUUGGCUUUUUGGUGCUAUUGUCGAACAAACGAAAGGCAAUUUCUUUUGGUUGAAUAAUAAUUUGAAGUGGAUAGAGACAAAUCCAUGUGUUACAAAGUAGAUGGCUCAGAUAAACUCAACUUCGUCUCCAACAAAUUUUAUAAAGUGUGAGACCCUCCAAUCACGCCGCAAUGACCAUGUCAGGGUUCAUGAUAUUAGUCAAUGUCGAACAGUUGUUCAAUUUCGAUGAGCCUAUAUAUAUAUAGGGUUGAAGAGCAAUACUACUACUAUAACCAGCAAUAUGUCAAAAUAUAUAAGCAACAACAAAAUAUGUACACUUCGCAUCUUGCAAUGCAACAACUUCGGUUUCUAAUAACAACUAGGAGCUUGUUACCCUAUAUUAAAAGUAAAACUGACGGAUUAAAAGUAAAAAUCUUAUGUGUAACGGGAUAUAUGUAUUCUCUUUCUGUAAUCACAUGAUUUAAUGCUUAUUUAUAGUUACGUGACCAUGACGGAGCUAGACUACAAAUAUUGGGAGGUCAAUAGCUGAGAAGUUUAUAAACUUAUUAUCCACAAAUUUUCAAAGUUUUAUAUAAAAUUUCAAAGAUUUUUUGGAAUUUUGGGGACCACAAUCACUUCAAGUUUAUAUGUAACUUCGUCUUUGCACAUGACUAUGUUAUUGUGAGAGAAAAAUAUUAUAUACAACGGAUUAUACUUUAAAUAUUUUUCCAACAUAUAGUGUUUCUUUUCAUCUUCCCUCACAUAGUUUGUGGUGGAUAAUUUCUCAAAUUUUGUGGUCGAAAGUUAUUAUAUCUAGUGAUGAUUAGAAUCAGAUAUGAAAAGCCGCACGAUGUUUGAUUUGUGGUGGGAGCAAGAAAUAUAUUUUAUCAUGGCAAAUGACUAAACUCACUUAGUCUCACUAUUCGUUAAACAAAUCUAGAGCCGUCCACUGAUAUAUGCCCCCCAAUUUUACCCCGUAAUUAGUAGAGUGGAAAAUGCCACACUUUUCUUCCUUCCCGUGAUGGAGAGUGGGACUCGAUGGUCAACAAUUUCGGCCAUCGUGGGUAUUAUCGUCAAACAUUUUGACCUCCUUAUUCGUCACGGCAGCCAUUUUUGCAAAAACUAAUCAUUAAAAAACACACUUCGAUUAAAAUUUUACGAGUUUUUCAUUAAACUUCGUUUUCGGUUUUGUUUUUCUUCCGAAAAUGACCCCUCGAAAGGUUUGGCACCAUUUGAAUUGGUCAAAAGCAUUAUUGGAUUUGACAUCAAUUUCCAAGAGAGAUCCAAACACUGCCAACACAUGCACGAACAUUUGGGGAAGCAUUGCCACCAAGCAAGGAAGAAAAACAAACUUACGAUAGAGAUAGCACUUGCUAAUAAUAUGUUAUGUGAAAAUAUUAUUACGUGUAUUAUAAAGUUAUUGGUCGAAGAUAGUAAAAUAGUCAUCUUUUUCCAAAUAAUAAAGUAAAAAUGUAACAUCACUUUGCAAAUUGUGAUAGGUUGAUGUGGCAUUUUUCCGUUCAAAUUAAGUACACUACAUUGUAGUAAGCAAAGUUUUAAUACUUGAUGCCAAAAGUUUAUUCAAUUGCAAGUCACUUGAACUUUGAUUAUUGGAAUCUUUCGGCUAGGUUGAAAUCAAUCUGCAAUAUGGAGAAAAGGAUCCAUAAGAUCUUGGCACAAUCAGGGACGGAUCCACAGAGGAGCAAGGGUGGUCAAUUGACCCCUGCAACUCCAGAAUCCGCCACUAGAGGAAGAAAAAUUGACCCCUGCAAUGGCUGGAUGGCUGGGCAAUUCAUGCCCGCCAUCUGUUUGAGGAAAUGCCUCAAAGGGUUGCAGCAACUUCAACUUCAGCGCAGCAAGAAGGAGUGCACGCAGAGCGCUUCCUUUUUUUCGUCCAAAAGUCCCUCUUCCUAAAGUGGAUAUCAGCUGGAUAUCAGCUUCUUGCUCUUUGCAAAGGGUGGUUUGGGAGAACAGUGUCAUUGGGAAAAUCAAAGCUUUGCCAUCGAAUUUUACCAUGUGCAUCUUUCAGAACAAGGUUGCCAGAAUUCAAAAGCUCUGCUCUCUCAACAUCAAGACUACUGGAGUUGGUGCUGGUCUGCCAGACAAUUGCGCCAUCCACAUCGGUCUCAAGACCAAUGAGCCAUCUUUUCGAAGCGAAACUCUGGCGCCAAGGCUAUUGACAGUUUUGUCUCUGUUAGCCAUCCAAACAACUGUUCUGCUUUUAGAGUUUGUGAACCCACAUGUGAAAGACUCAUCUGGGGAAGUUACUUGAUUUAAUGUGUUUUCUCAAUUGUUUUCUCAAUGAAUUAUAUAUGAAUGAUAAUUUAUCGUUUUAUUUUUAUGGGAUGAAUAUUGAUGUUUUUCUUGAUUAGUUGUUGAGGUUUUUUAUUUUAUUUUUUCCCAAGGAGGUUUAAUUUUGGUUAGUUACCUUUAGUUUGAAUAAAGGAUUUCUUAAUAAUAAAAAUAUUUAUGGGUAUAUUUUGUAUAGAAUUUUUUUAACCUUUUAAAAGUUGACCCCCGGAGGAAAAAUUCCUGGAUCCGUCCCUGGGCACAAUGUGGUACUGAUCAAAGACAUUUCAAUACUUAAGUUAGCACGAAUGUUUAUGAGUAACUAAUUUAGCAGAGUAAUUGUACAUGUGCAAGAGGCCUUAAGUGAGGUCCCUAAAUGAUUUGGUCAAUGUGGGACUUUUGUCCUAUGAGGAGGGUGCUAACAUAUGUCCUUAUUUCGAACAGGAAUGCCCUUCGGUAGCAGCACGGCAUGUGUGAGGCAAGUGUCUUUAUUUCGAGAGCGAGUGCCUUGAAGAUAGUGGCACGACAUGUCUCAAUCGGUCAGUGACUCCUCCUACUUGGUCCUCAGUAGGUGUAGGUUCAUCGUUGUCUUAGGCUACUAAAUCUGCUUGGUUAGAUAUAGUGUAAAUACAAACGAUAUUAAAAAAGGAUAUAAACUUGAACACAUGAACUCGAAUGUAGAAUAACUAAUUUUAACAACUUAAGCUACAAUCUCAUUGCGGCCCUACAAUGUCUUUUGAUUGAGGCUGCAUGCCUUUGCUUCGGAUGAUGCAUAGUAGCAGGGGCAUGCUGGGCUGCUGCCCGACCCAAAAUAGCCCCCAAAAAACCCUAUCUCUAAGGUACCCAUCCAGAGCCAGCCACGUUCUCUUCUUCUUACGCGUUUUGACUUUUUGCCCAUCAUUGGCGGAGGCGGAGGCUAGCAGCUCGAAGGACUAUAAUUUAUGAGGUUUUUGUUCUUCUUGCUAUGAAUUUAGGUUUUUGUCACCAUCAAUUUUUUUAGGAUUUUUUAUUUGUUGAUAACAGUUUUCAUACUUUAGAUGAAAUCUUGCAGAGACUGGUAUAUAAAGAAGAAGAUCAGGAUUGAAGGCUAAGCACUCACACCCCUUAUCAGAGUGAGAUCCGAUCAUAUUUUCUUUGUCUCCUACUUUUUAUACUUCAUUUUUUACUGUGUUUGCUUUCUACUUCAAGUUUUUGCUAUCUACUCUUAUGUUUCUAAAUUUGAAAAAAUUAUUUUAGACUUUUAGUCUCUUUGUGGCACGGAAGGCUAACCACAUACUUCCUUCCAAAAUAUCAUAAAGCCAGUACUUGUGUCGUUUUUGUUAUUUGUUGAUAAUAUAUGUGGCUGUUAUUUGCAUCUUUAUGCUAAUAUAUUGAAGGCAAAAUAUAUUGUGCAUUGCAUAUAAUCUUUGGUCUGAUUUUGUUGUUGGUAUGUUUGAUUAAAAGCAUUUCUACAUAUUAUUUAUGGGUCAUAUUUUAUUAUGUCGGAUCAUAAUCGGAACCCUAAAAGAAGAAAAAAUUUGUUUCCUUUUCAUAAGAUCAUCAUCUAGUUUAAUGCCUUCUAACCCUUUUUAUUUAUUUAUUAUUAUUAUUAAGCUUUUAUUUAUGUAUAGAGAUGUAUUUGAAGAUAAUGCUCAUUACGUCUCUCUGACUAGGUAUAUCUUUUUAUAUUUCUUAAUAAAAUUUACUUAUACUGUCAGUUUAGUAUGUAAAUUUUGCGGAUUUUAAAUCUUGAAUCCGCCAAAGCAUAGUAGUAGUAACCAAACUCGUUAACCAAGUUUGUGAUCCCGACUCUGCUGCAAUUUUGAGGCUAAAACUUAUUACACAAAAGAGAGAAAACAUGCCCAUGCCAAAAGCAUCUGGAUUUUUGUUUUUGUGUGUGUUCAUUUAAAAAGGAAAGGCAUAUAGGAAUAUAGUGGAGAUGAAGCUGCUGGACUAGAGAUACCCCACCUCCCCACCUUCAUCAAAUGAAACCAAUUUGCUAAUAAAAUAAAAAUGGUGUGUUCAUAUGCUGUCCACACACAACCUCUGUGUCAGUCAAACCAUUUAUAAUUUGCAAGCUGACCUCAACAUUCCAACAUCUGUAAUUUCCAAUUCCCUCCGAGGUCAUUUCUGUACCAAAACAUUUCUUCUAGUUGCAGAAACAUAAAAAAGGCAUCUUGCCUACUCAAGUCUUUUCAGCAAAAAAACAACACAUUGAAAAUUUGACGCAGCAACAUGUAUUUUACGUUUUAGGAGUUGCAGAGAGGCUUGGAAAAGAAAACGAGAAAGCUUUUUGCUUUGAUGAACAAGAAGCUCAGCUAGCAGCAACAUUCAACUUUGCUGAAUUAAGAAGAACCAGAGACCCCAUUAAUUUCAUGCAAUUGCCUAUAUCCAAUCCCCAUAAACAAAGCAGUUAAU
rnacentral:lncRNA from 1 species